rnacentral:snRNA from 1 species
GGAUGUGAGGAUGGCCUGGCUGUGAUAUCCGUCACCCUAUUGAUCACCAAGGUUGAUUCGGUUGAUCUGGCUGGCUAGGUGCAUGCCCCCUUCCUCCCUCACCACUCCAUGUGUGUCUCUCCCGAAGCUGCACUCUCUAUCGAAGAGGACAGCCUUCCCCAAAUGAAGGAGGGCAAGGGUAUAGGAGUAGCUGUGCUCCCCUGCUAGAACCUCCAAACAAGCUCUUAAGGUAGUGGGAGGGUAGGUAAGUCCAGAAAGGUUUUAGCAAGGAAGCUCCU